CGACAGCACCGCGGCAUGAUUCUGGCUGCUGCGCUGCCUUUUCAAAACACGCUGUUCAGCACGGCUCAUCUGGUGAUGUGAGGAGUUCACAGAUCCGGUCUGAAGCCUGCUGAACGGCUCACAGCCUGAUAGUGUCAAAUAUUUUGACGAUGAUUUAAAAUCAGGAUGAUCCACAACAACCGGUGUCAGAGGCGUCCCGGAGCUGCUGAUGUGCUGCCAAGCAACCAUACACAGUCGAGCCCUCGAGGCUAACCAGGUUGAUGCACCACACAAGUCUCCUGUUUGUUUACGUCUGCUUCCCCAUGAGAUCAUGUGAGAAGCAUCACAUGUGGACGAUGGGCGGUGUGGAUCAUACAGCGGCAGCUGUCACGAUAUAACACGAGACGCAGGUCCAAUAAAGUCUGGAAGAGCUGCAAGAUUAAAUAAAUGCAUCUCUAUUUAAGUUUUCACGCUUUGUGGGCCGAACGACUCGGAAGAUUCAGACAAGUUUAAACUCAGAAAGUCGAACUUUUCAUGGGACAAACAGAGCUCCAUCUCCAACACUGAGCCCAGGUUUCAUGAUACGUCCAUGAGGAGGGACAAGAGGCGUCCCUAGAUGUUCUUGAGAAGGAUGUCUUCACAAUAAAACAUAAUAUUUAAUAAAUCACACAGCCAAUUUAACAGACAGCGGACCACGAGCGUCGUCCCUGUGAGGCUUUAACAUCCAGCAGAGGAAAAUAAUUGACAUCCAUCUGUAAGGAAAGCAUAAGUUGUAUAUAUCCUCAACACUGCAUGUGCUGGAAUUCCAGAAAGAUGAUCUUCUGCUGACUUUAAUA